rnacentral:rRNA from 1 species
UACGAGGGGGGCGAGCGUUGUUCGGAAUUAUUGGGCGUAAAGCGCGCGCAGGUGGUUCCUUAAGUCUGAUGUGAAAGCCCACGGCUCAACCGUGGAGGGUCAUUGGAAACUGGGGAACUUGAGUGCAGAAGAGGAAAGUGGAAUUCCAAGUGUAGCGGUGAAAUGCGUAGAGAUUUGGAGGAACACCAGUGGCGAAGGCGACUUUCUGGUCUGUAACUGACACUGAGGCGCGAAAGCGUGGGGAGCAAACAGG